ensembl:lncRNA
AUGACUCCUAGGAAAACAAAGAUUAACUGCUGUGAAUGUUCCAAACUCCAUGUUCUGCCCCAUGAGAAGCAGAGAAAUGCCAUGCAUUUUCAGUUGUCAUCUGAGAGGGAUCCUACACACUGGCUCUGGGAAGGAAACUGCCUUUGGUUAGAGCAACUUGUGUCUGGACUCAAAUGGACACUUUACAGAACAGAGGUAUCCAAAGACAGGUUUGUUGGUUUGACUCAUCUUUCAUUCAGCUCAUUGUGCUGUUCCAAAAGACUGCUGGUAAAUGGAAAUCUACUUUUAAGUCUUUUAUAGUAUUUGCAUGCUUACAUGGUUUAUAGGUGAUCUAAAGUUCAAAACUGCCAGUGGAGCUACAGAAAUAUUUGAGAUGAACGGGGCUCCUUGUCACUGGAGGCAACCUAUACAAGAUUUGCACUCUGGUGCAAAAAGUGUGUCUAUUUCUGCAGACAUUUCACCAAAACAAGCAACUUCAUAUAAGUGAGUAGUCAACUUUGAACAAGAGCACUAAUUGUACUGAUGAGGCUUAGCAGGACUGAAACAAGAAUUAUGAAAAGACUUCAUGUUCUAUCAAAAAUGGUUUAAUUUCUUACAAGGGGUUGAAAAUUAAAAAGAAUGAUGGAAGGAGCUGUACAUAAUUUCUAGGGUAAUGUUUGUGCAACUGAAAAAUUUUGGUUGCUGUCAAAAUAUUUCUGUGUUACUAUCACAACAUAGGUGUAACCUGCCACAUUCUGAUAGAGAUUGACAUGUUCAAAAACUGGAAUAUUGAUGGACUCCUGAACUUUGCUGUCUCAUCACGGUGAAGCCAUUUGAAGAAUAGCACAGAAGCAGUUUAGAAAACCUUGGCUAAUCAAAUUUGUCAGACAAUAGGAAAAUGUUUGAAGAGAAGGAUUGAUACCAGGAAAGGCCCAAUGGACCGAGUACUGUGAGGGAAGGGCAUGUGUGACUUAACAGGAAGGAUUUCCUUUUUAACUCAGGCUAGAGUUUGAUGAAUAUUUCCUUUGAUGGAAGUGCUGGAUAAAUCAGCUUUGUAGGGAGGGAAAGAAGCUGGUUUUGAUCUUAGUUAUUUCUCCAGCCUGGCUCACUGUGUGACAGCACAAAUUAAAAUGCACAACAAAAGGCAGUGGCAAGAAGGGCAGGCAAAAGUGAAGUUAGGGCUUAUCAAAGCCUGUCUGAGAUGGCCCCCAUGGAGAAGAGGCUGUUUGGAGACACAUGUACUGACAGAGGCAUGGGUAGGCAGAACGGGUGCAUUAAGAGCCAUUUGAGCUAAACCCAGAGCCUGCCUGGUAGGAGGGAAAGGCAGGGAGGAAACCUGAACAGAGAAAUGCAUAAAGAAGUUUCUACUGUGAGCAGAAGGCAAAGCUGAACAGGCUGCUUGCUUCCCUCAUGGCACAACACUGAAGGGUAGCCUCCAGCACUAAGCAGGACAGCAAGUCUGAGUUCAUAAAAGGACUUCACUUCAGCUAGUGAGGGUGCUGAGGAAGUUUUAUAGAAGAAUGGGCACUAGCACUGGUGACAACAACCAGCAGUGCUAAGGACCUCCUUCUGUGAGGCUUGUAGGUGGCCAGACAGUGAAAACAUCUGGUGCUUGGUUAUCCUAACGAAGGGUUAAAAACCUACUGGUUUUGACUGCAUAUGCUUAGCAUGCUCAUGAAUUUUAGCAGGACAGUUUGCUGCUAUGUCAGGAUAAAGAAAACUGAGAGUUUAAUUCAGAGUACGUUGUAUUUUCAAUCUGCUCGCUGGUACAUGGGAAGUAUAUGAGGGAUUUUAACUAUCUUUUCUUUAGAAAGGAUCAUUUGCUGAUAUAAAAUUUUCUAUGAGUCUCUAAGAAAGGGAAUUUUUAAAAUCUUUUUUAUAUAGAAAUGUAAAUUUCCACAUUUUGCAAAAUUUUAUGUAGAGUAACUUAGUAUAUGAUAAUAUUCUCUAACAAUAUUUGUUUAUAUCAAAGAUUUUCAGAAUUACCUUAUUAAGUAAAAGUUGUUGCAUGAUUUUGCUAAUCUCUGCCCUAUUUUCCUCUCUCUCAGUAUGAGCUGUUCUGAAAUUAUGUUCACGUACUAGAAGACAAAGUGCCAAGUACCUAAUUUAGUACUCAGCAGUUACAUCCAAAUUUCAGUUAUUGUAUAACACCAAAUACUCUAAAGAUGACAAGCUCAAGAAAUACUUGCCUUAGACUGGAAAACUGUCAGCACUUUGUAUUAGACAGUAUUAUUCAAAUUACAUUUAAAUUGCACUUUAUUAUCUAGGUGGCCUGAAUGAUUUUAACAACCUGUUUGUAAUGUGUGUGACCUCUGUGACUAAGAGAACUAUUGUAGCCUGAUUGCCCACAAUUGUACAGAAAAAAAAAAAAAAAGAUAUAGGAAGAGUUUUACAAACUGCUUGUGAACUAUGCAAAAAAACAAGAAAACAAGGAUCAAUCAAUGGAAUUUUAAAACACUUAUGUGGAUUAGAAACAUGUACUGUGAUUAGGCUCCCAGGGUUUUUGGAUGUGUUUGAAAAUCCUUGCUAUUCUGACAAAGAUUUCAGAACUAAUUUAUCUUAAGGAUAAACAUAAUUCAUUACAUUUUAAAUUACCCUUUCAAAAUGCAUUAAAGCUUGUACACAAAAGUUUCAACAAAGCAGUGAGAAAUAUACUCCACUCAUUCCAAGAUGUUUUAUUUUUUAGUUAUAGCUACAGGUAUAAUUACUUUAUUUGGAAAAAUAGUUGGAUUUUCAGUCAUGAUAUUCUGUCUUGAAGAGAAUUUCUGACUCUGGGUGAACUUUGAAUAUUAAGUCAUUGAACAUUAAAUAACAGUGAAUCUCUAUAAAAUAGAAAUUUUAUCUUUUUGACUCAAAGGGUUACAAUUUAAAGCUUCUACAUAAACAUAAUAAACUAUGAAGUCAGGUAGCUCUAAGGACA